UCAGAACGAACGCUGGCGGCAGGCUUAACACAUGCAAGUCGAACGCCCCGCAAGGGGAGUGGCAGACGGGUGAGUAACGCGUGGGAACAUACCCUUUCCUGCGGAAUAGCUCCGGGAAACUGGAAUUAAUACCGCAUACGCCCUACGGGGGAAAGAUUUAUCGGGGAAGGAUUGGCCCGCGUUGGAUUAGCUAGUUGGUGGGGUAAAGGCCUACCAAGGCGACGAUCCAUAGCUGGUCUGAGAGGAUGAUCAGCCACAUUGGGACUGAGACACGGCCCAAACUCCUACGGGAGGCAGCAGUGGGGAAUAUUGGACAAUGGGCGCAAGCCUGAUCCAGCCAUGCCGCGUGAGUGAUGAAGGCCUUAGGGUUGUAAAGCUCUUUCACCGAUGAAGAUAAUGACGGUAGUCGGAGAAGAAGCCCCGGCUAACUUCGUGCCAGCAGCCGCGGUAAUACGAAGGGGGCUAGCGUUGUUCGGAAUUACUGGGCGUAAAGCGCACGUAGGCGGAUAUUUAAGUCAGGGGUGAAAUCCCGCAGCUCAACUGCGGAACUGCCUUUGAUACUGGGUAUCUUGAGUAUGGAAGAGGUAAGUGGAAUUCCGAGUGUAGAGGUGAAAUUCGUAGAUAUUCGGAGGAACACCAGUGGCGAAGGCGG
rnacentral:rRNA from 1 species